ACACAGCUAAAUAAGCCUUCGUAAAGAGAUCAAACAAUACAACUUUUUCUUGAGAAUAAUUCUUCAUAAUAGUAUUCUUCAUUGUCUCUUUCUUUCCAUUAUCUUUUAGUUAAACUACUUUUGAGGCAAAAUCUAAAGAUCCAAUCUACCACCACUAACUUGACAAAAUAUCUCUCAACUCACAGCUCCAUCUCUUUCAAUAACCAUAGCUCCUCGACCGUCCCUCAUCCCCCACUUGCUAUGGCGGCGGGUGAAGGAGAAGCCAUUCACAACAUGUGACAGGAAAGAUGAAAGUUCAACCAAAGCAUGGGGCCAAAUCUUAUCAACUCGCUUUCCUGAGCGUUCCUCCUUCCUGAACGAUCCUCCUCCCUGAGCUUCCUUCACCUGUGUCUCUGCUUCCCCUCUCCCCUUGCCAUUGCAAGCGGGGGACCAUCCUCCCCUUCUUCUCCCUCCUAGGCAGAGAUUGCAGCAGCCAUCAAGAAUCGUUCAAACCCUUCUCCAUUAGUUGAUGGUCCAGUGUUGCGCAAACUAAAAGCCUCAAUUACUGAAUUCAUCAGCUUUGAUGGAGAUGCCAUGGCUAGAGGCCGACUUCGCUUCGAACAUUCAUUGAUCGGCAAAUUCUUUGGCAAACCACACCCUUUUGACCAAAUUAAAUCUAUCCUCCAAUCCAGAUGAAAUGACUUUGGUGAAAUCUUUAUCUCUAAUUUACCGAAUGGAUACUUAUUGUUCAGAUGUGAAUCAUUUGAAACCACCCAAAAACUCCUGUUUGACGGCCCCUAGGCUGUUAAUGGAGCCAUCCUCCAACUUGCUCCUUGGAAACCUUUCUUUGAACCAGCUUUCGCCAAGCUUUCCACGGUUGUCAUAUGGGUGCAAACUGUGCAAUUACAUAACCUACCAGUGGAAUUCUAGGAUGUGGAGUCUCUGGAAACUAUCUCUGCUUCGUUAGGGCGUUUGUUAAAGAUUAAUGAUUAUACUAUCUCUUUCUAGGUCUAAAUUUGCCCGCAUUUGUGUGGAGACUGACCUAUCUAAACCUCUGAAGAAAGGUUUUUGGAUUAGGGAUGAUGAACAUCGUGUGUUUGUUGUUGUCCUUUAUGAGAAGCUUCCUACAUUCUAUUAUCUCUACGGAAUGGUCGGACAGGGGUCAAACCAUUGCAACCGCCGGAGUUCAGGGGAUCUCAGUCGUUCCUCGCCACCCCCAUUGCAGGUUCCAGGUGAAUCGAAUGGGAUGGUGGCAAGGGAGGCUAUGGAUUCUCUGAACAAUGACAUGGAGGCAGAAAACGAUCCUUUGUCCCAAUCUGCAAGGAAAUACCCAAAGUAAAAGCUGAAACGGAGUUCGGUCCAUGGAUGUUAGUCUCUCGACGUAGAGGGUGAGGUGGUGACCGCGGUGGCGCUAGUGGUGGCGCUGGGAGACUGGCAUCACGUGUGGCGCAUGCAAGCCCAUUAAACCAUCAAUCAUCGCUCCCAAUGCUAUGCCUCGUUCUAGGACUUCCAGUUCACCACGUGGCGGCUUCUCCUUUCAUGGCAGGGGUGGCCACAUUAGUGAACGUUCCCGAGUCACGGAUCCCACUACUGUUCAGUCGGCUGGUGUUAAUGCUGACGUGACCCCCUCCUCUGUUCAAGACAUGGAGAUCUCAACGGUUAUGGUUCCAACAAUCACGAGAGACGUUGGUUCUCUCAACAAGCAUAACCCUGGACCAAGUUCCAAACCUGCUUUGAGUUCCAAGGAAAAGCAAAAGAUUCCCUGUCAGACCCCACUCCACCUCCUAUUCUCAGGACCUAUGAUGGUCAAGUUGUUGGUUCCAACAUAGACUCUCCCAUCUCCUCUCACGCCUUAGCUGUUGAACAAGUCUCUGGAGCUAUGAAUCCUUCACCUCUGUUGGAGAACUCUGACCUUUCCAUGAGUGAAUCUGGUGAUGAGGGAACUGACGAGGAUGAUAGCGAUUGUGCCAUGUCCGAAUAUGACGACCUUGAUGAACCUGAUAAUUCCAUGACUUUGGAUCAAUAUCAGACUAGUCUACAUAAAGAGGCUCUUGUCCGGCGUGAUCCGCAUUCCAUUUCAUCUUUACAUAAGAAAGGGCGGCUCGAUCAAGGCGGCGAUGCUGCCCAGGGACCGAGCCCUUCCUUCUAAAGGGUGUCCUUUUUCUGUUUGUCUUCUAAUCUGUUAUCUCUGAAUGAGUUUCUUUACUCUUAUCUUAUAUUUCUUAAUUUUUCAAUGAUUGAUAAUAUUACUAAGCUCGUGUGUUGGAACUGUAGAGGGAUCUUCGGCCGGGAUACCUCUUCUCGCAAUAAGUACAUGAUGAAAAAAAAUCAAUCCAAUUAUCUUUUGCUUGGUGGAAACCCGUGCACAUAAUAGCAAACUUGACUCCUUCUGCUCCAAACUUGAUAGCAAAUAGGCUUGGGGUGCUAUUGUGGCAAAUGGUUAUUCAGGUGGAAUCAUUGUCACUUGGCAAAAACAAUUGGUUUAUAAUCCUUCUCGUAUCCAAGCUCAAUCCUCCGUUUGGCAUGAGUUAUCGGCUCUCCAUCAGCAAAAUUCUUCCAGGUGGGCCCAAAGAGCUACUAGACUAACUAUGGGUUCGGUGUGGUAACCAGAAUACUAGCUUCUUUCAUAAUUCUAUACGCUUACUCACCAAAAAGGAAGUAUUUCAUGCUCUUCAAUCCCUUCCUUCAGGCUGUUGUAACAAUUCUGCAAAGUCGGAUAUUGAAGUUAAGGCACUUGCGCUCAUUGCGGCGAUGGGAAGCAUCCGUGUCUUAAAUUUUCAAAUCAAAACCAUCUUCAUUGCCAAUGUCGAUCUUCAUAAAGCUAUCAUGUCUGGUGAUCCACAACAUACUUGGAGACUUUAUCCAUUGAUCUCUAGCAUUAUUGAUUACAUGUCAAGCUUAGGAAAUCGUCAGAUUCAUAUUAUUCCCAGAUCAUGGAUGACUGCUGCUGUUAGCUUGGCCUAUCAUGGAGCUAAUUCUCAUGUCCUUACACUCUUUCAUCAUGGCAGAGACCUUCCUCACUGGUUAAUGAAGCAACUUAAUAGGAAUGGAAUUCUCUUGUAAUCUUCUUUCUUCUCCUUUUAUCUUUUUUUGGUCUUUGUAUUAGUUCUCUUGUAGCCUAGUUUUUGUAUGUUUCUUUUUCCUCAGACUUUGUACCUCCUUGUUUUGUUUUGAAUAAAAAGCUGUCUCAGCUCCUUUUCCUCAAAAAACAAUGGGAAACAUGAAUGGACCCUCUUCCAGAAAAGAUGCAGGAACAGAUCAACAUGGAGAAAGUCAAAGUGGUGGUCUAAGAGUAAGUGAAGAUAGAUGACAACUCUUAUCCAGAUC